rnacentral:rRNA from 1 species
GAUGAACGCUGGCGGCGUGCCUAAUACAUGCAAGUCGAGCGAAUGAAUUGAGAGCUUGCUCUUAUGAAGUUAGCGGCGGACGGGUGAGUAACACGUGGGUAACCUGCCCAUAAGACUGGGAUAACUCCGGGAAACCGGGGCUAAUACCGGAUAACAUUUUGAACCGCAUGGUUCGAAAUUGAAAGGCGGCUUCGGCUGUCACUUAUGGAUGGACCCGCGUCGCAUUAGCUAGUUGGUGAGGUAACGGCUCACCAAGGCAACGAUGCGUAGCCGACCUGAGGGGGUGAUCGGCCACACUGGGACUGAGACACGGCCCAGACUCCUACGGGAGGCAGCAGUAGGGAAUCUUCCGCUAUGGCCGAAAGUCUGACGGAGCAACGCCGCGUGAGUGAUGAAGGCUUUCGGGUCGUAAAACUCUGUUGUUAGGGAAGAACAAGUGCUAGUUGAAUAAGCUGGCACCUUGACGGUACCUAACCAGAAAGCCACGGCUAACUACGUGCCAGCCGCCGCCGUAA